UACAGGGGGUGCAAACGUUGCUCGGAAUUAUUGGGCGUAAAGCGCGCGUAGGCGGCUACUUAAGUCGGAUGUGAAAGCCCUUGGCUCAACUGAGGAAGUGCACCCGAAACUGAGUGGCUUGAGUACGAAAGAGGGUCGCGGAAUUCUCGGUGUAGAGGUGAAAUUCGUAGAUAUCGAGAGGAACACCGGUGGCGAAGGCGGCCAACUGGACAGAUACUGACGCUGAGGCGCGAAAGCGUGGGGAGCAAACAGG
rnacentral:rRNA from 1 species